GAUGAAGAACGUAGCGAAAUGCGAUAAGUAGUGUGAAUUGCAGAAUUCAGUGAAUCAUCGAAUCUUUGAACGCACAUUGCGCCCCUUGGUAUUCCAUGGGGCAUGCCUGUUCGAGCGUCAUUUGUACCUUCAAGCUUUGCUUGGUGUUGGGUGUUUGUCCUGAGGGACUCGCCUUAAAGUAAUUGGCAGCCAGUGUUUGGUUUUGAAGCGCAGCACAAGUCGCAAUUCAAAGCUAUACGCCCGCUUCCACAAGCCUUUUUCACUUUUGACCUCGGAUCAGGUAGGGAUACCCGCUGAACUUAAGCAUAUCAAUAAGCGGAGGA
rnacentral:misc_RNA from 1 species